CUAAGCAUAUCAAUAAGCGGAGGAAAAGAAACUAACAAGGAUUCCCCUAGUAGCGGCGAGCGAAGCGGGAAGAGCUCAAAUUUAUAAUCUGGCACCUUCGGUGUCCGAGUUGUAAUCUCUAGAAAUGUUUUCCGCGUUGGACCGCACACAAGUCUGUUGGAAUACAGCGGCAUAGUGGUGAGACCCCCGUAUAUGGUGCGGACGCCCAGCGCUUUGUGAUACAUUUUCGAAGAGUCGAGUUGUUUGGGAAUGCAGCUCAAAUUGGGUGGUAAAUUCCAUCUAAAGCUAAAUAUUGGCGAGAGACCGAUAGCGAACAAGUACCGUGAGGGAAAGAUGAAAAGCACUUUGGAAAGAGAGUUAACAGUACGUGAAAUUGUUGGAAGGGAAACGCUUGAAGUCAGACUUGCUUGCCGAGCAAUCGGUUUGCAGGCCAGCAUCAGUUUUCCGGGAUGGAUAAUGGUAGAGAGAAGGUAGCAGUUUCGGCUGUGUUAUAGCUCUCUGCUGGAUACAUCUUGGGGGACUGAGGAACGCAGUGUGCCUUUGGCGGGGGUUUCGACCUCUUCACACUUAGGAUGCUGGUGGAAUGGCUUUAAACGACCCGUCUUGAAACACGGACCAAGGAGUCUAACAUGCUUGCGAGUAUUUGGGUGUCAAACCCGGAUGCGUAAUGAAAGUGAAUGGAGGUGGGAACCGCAAGGUGCACCAUCGACCGAUCUGGAUUUUUAAUGAUGGAUUUGAGUAAGAGCACGUAUGUUGGGACCCGAAAGAUGGUGAACUAUGCCUGAAUAGGGCGAAGCCAGAGGAAACUCUGGUGGAGGCUCGUAGCGGUUCUGACGUGCAAAUCGAUCGUCAAAUUUGGGUAUAGGGGCGAAAGACUAAUCGAACCAUCUAGUAGCUGGUUCCUGCCGAAGU
rnacentral:rRNA from 1 species